CUGAGCCACAGGGCCAGACUCGGUGCCAAAGAACGUUGCAGAGAAGAUUGGCAAGGUCCCUGUGCAAGGAUGACAUGCAAAUUCAUAAAGCGCUCCAUGUUUUG